ensembl:lncRNA uncharacterized LOC108924257
GGCUCUUUCUCUGCCAUCAUUUGAGUGACUGCAGGUAUUGCUUUCUGCCUAUGAGAGAGAGAGUGUAAAGGAGAGAGAGUGGGCGAGAGAGCGAGAGAGAGAGAGAGAGAGAGAGAGAGACCUGCACAGAGAGAGAGAGACGGGAACAGCAUCUCAUCUUCCCCCUUUGGCUUCCCAUUCUCCUUGCUCCCUGUCACUCCUUCCUUCCAUCCUUCCUCCCUCCUGGACCACCCAUCUUUAACUGGACCGGACCUCCCUGAACCCGCUGCCCACAGCCCUUUUGACUCUCCUCACUUCUCCAUCCCACCCUGUCAGCUGAGCAGCAGCUUCUCACUGUACAGCUGGCCUAAAGGGACAAGGGAGGGAUCAAGUAAUACACCAGAGGGACCCUGCAAUUACUGACCUCAAGGAUUCCCGUUCAAGUAGCUUCUGCACAGAAGACCAAAUAUCUCUGCCGAAC